AAUCUGAACUAUUUGCAGUAACACAAGUGUGCCUUCCUCUCUAAAUUCUAGGCUAGUUACAAUUUACCCAUUUAUUCACACAUUCAGUCAUUUUUCUUGGAAUUACCACUAUCUAACUCUGUGGCUGAUACUAGGCAGGUUCUCUGAAUGAAUAAAUGGAAACAAACUUAGAAGGGCAGCUCAAGAGGUAAUACAUACCCAAGGAAUUGACCAAUAUAAGGAACUGCAUACAAGAACAGUUUUUCCCCAGGCACAAGUAAACAAGUGCAAGUAUGAGGCAAACAGACUUCCUUCUCUUGCUCUGCCCGGUCUGGGAACCAUAUUUUAAUUAAUCAAGACUUUGUAGAAUGAAUCGGAACAAAACCAAAACAAAAUAAAAGGCAAACAAACCAACUUCUGACAAAGACCUGACUGAAAAGGUAAUCAACUCCCCUAAACCCCAAGUCUAAAUGGCACACUUGCUGCAGCUCAGCCGACAGUCCCCCGGCUCCAUGAAGCCCCGCCCCGGAGAAGGCGGGGCCUGCGGGAUUGGCGGAGAUUUCCCGCGAGGCCACGCCCUCUCUGGGCCGGCCGUAGGCUCGCCUGCUGCCCCCGCCGUUUCCUUGGAGAUGAAACACACAAGACGCCCGAGCUUCACAAGGGAGCGAACGAGGGUGUUUAUAAGAAUGGAAGCGCUGUUUCCUUGCCCGAUUCCUUCAUGCUAUAUCUCAUGAACCUCUGUAAUCUUGGGGGAGAGACUAUAUUUAAUGAUGACAAACCUGUCACCAGUGUAGCAACAACAGUGUGAGGACAAAAGCAAAUAAAAAUUAAGAAGCGUUCAAAUUUAUAUUCAACAAGGAAGUCAUUUCAAUCAACAACUUCUGCUGCAUUAUUUUUCCAAGAUGAACCGAUACACAACCAUGAGACAGUUGGGGGACGGCACGUAUGGGAGUGUGCUUAUGGGCAAGAGUAAUGAAUCCGGGGAGCUGGUGGCCAUCAAAAGGAUGAAGAGAAAGUUCUAUUCUUGGGAUGAAUGCAUGAACUUGAGAGAAGUUAAGUCUCUGAAGAAACUUAAUCAUGCCAAUGUUAUUAAAUUGAAAGAAGUUAUCAGAGAAAAUGACCAUCUUUAUUUUAUAUUUGAAUAUAUGAAAGAAAACCUCUAUCAAUUAAUGAAAGACAGAAACAAGUUGUUCCCUGAAUCAGUCAUCAGAAAUAUUACGUAUCAAAUAUUGCAAGGGCUGGCUUUUAUCCAUAAACACGGCUUUUUUCAUAGGGACAUGAAACCAGAAAACUUGCUUUGUAUGGGCCCAGAGCUUGUGAAAAUUGCUGAUUUUGGACUUGCAAGAGAAUUAAGGUCACAGCCACCAUACACUGAUUAUGUCUCUACCAGAUGGUAUCGUGCCCCUGAAGUUUUACUGAGAUCUUCAGUUUAUAGUUCUCCCAUUGAUGUGUGGGCUGUUGGAAGUAUCAUGGCUGAACUCUAUAUGUUAAGGCCACUUUUCCCAGGGACAAGUGAGGUCGAUGAAAUCUUUAAAAUUUGCCAAGUUUUAGGGACUCCCAAAAAAAGUGACUGGCCAGAAGGAUACCAGCUGGCAUCCUCUAUGAACUUCCGUUUUCCCCAGUGUGUUCCUAUAAACUUAAAAACUCUUAUUCCCAAUGCCAGUAAUGAAGCUAUUCAGCUCAUGACCGAAAUGUUGAAUUGGGAUCCAAAGAAACGACCAACAGCAAGCCAGGCAUUGAAACACUCAUAUUUUCAAGUUGGUCAGGUAUUAGGCCCUUCGUCAAAUCAUCUGGAAUCAAAACAGUCUUUAAAUAAGCAGCUGCAACCAUUAGAAUCAAAGCCAUCUUUAGUUGAGGUAGAGCCUAAGCCUCUGCCGGAUAUAAUUGAUCAGGCUGUUGGACAACCCCAGCCAAAAACUAGCCAGCAGCCACUGCAGCCCAUUCAGCCGCCACAGAACCUGAGCGUCCAGCAACCUCCAAAGCAACAGAGUCAGGAGAAACCGCCACAAACGCUAUUCCCGAGCAUCGUCAAAAACAUGCCAACUAAGCCAAAUGGCACACUGAGUCAUAAAAGUGGUAGGAGGCGUUGGGGUCAGACUAUCUUCAAGUCUGGAGAUAGCUGGGAAGAGUUGGAGGACUAUGAUUUCGGAGCCUCCCAUUCCAAGAAGCCAAGCAUGGGUGUUUUUAAAGAAAAAAGGAAAAAAGAUUCUCCAUUUCGGCUUCCAGAGCCAGUACCCUCAGGCUCCAACCACUCGACAGGGGAAAACAAGAGCUUACCUGCUGUUACUUCCCUAAAAUCUGAUUCUGAAUUGUCAACUGCUCCAACCUCUAAACAGUACUACUUGAAACAAUCAAGAUAUCUUCCAGGUGUGAAUCCCAAGAAGGUGUCCUUGAUAGCCAGUGGAAAGGAAAUAAACCCCCACACUUGGAGCAACCAGUUAUUCCCCAAGUCACUGGGACCCAUCGGGGCAGAACUUGCUUUCAAAAGGAGAAAUGCAGGAAAUCUUGGAAGUUAUGCUACUUACGAUCAGUCGGGAUAUAUUCCUUCCUUUCUCAAAAAAGAAGUGCAGUCAGCUGGCCAGAGGAUCCACUUAGCACCUCUCAAUGCAACGGCUUCAGAUUUUUCUACAGAUGGUGAUAGGAGAAAAGGUAAAAAAUGAAGUAAAUAUUAAUCACUCUCAAGUGGUCAAUGCAAAUGUCCUUAGAAAAAACACUGUUCUGUAAGAGAUGUGUCUUCCAGUCAUGCCAGUUGGGUGACAGUUUCCCACAAGAAAAUAAAACCAGAAUAUACCUGGAACACAAAAACUGGUCGGGGGCAGUUUUCAGGACGUACUUAUAAUCCUACAGCAAAAAACCUAAAUAUUGUGAACCGUGCACAGCCCAUUCCCUCAGUGCACGGGAGGACAGACUGGGUGGCCAAGUAUGGAGGCCACCGGUAGGAGUCUAUGGUGUGAAACCCCUACAGCAUUGCUCCGUAGAGUACGUGCAAGUUCCUUGACCCUGGGAAAUGUCUACAAAUGUCUAUUUCUACUGAGUUCUGGAAGAAAUAUGCAAAAGUGGGUACUUGGAAGGGCAAAAAUCAUCCCCUAUUUUACUUAUUUCCAAGAAAUGCAUUUUCUUAGCAUCAUUGCCCACAGUGUUGAUAUAUGGGUAGGAUGUUACAAAGUAUUGAAUAAACUAUUUGCCAAAGUAUGAA